UUCUGUUUCUUCGUUGGCCUUGGACCAUGGAAACUGGAGCAGUUAAUCAGAUGGCUGCACUUGCAAUUCAAAGAGCAAAUUGCAUAAUCCUUGGUGAUACUGAGAAGGGGCCAAGACACAGCAGACAGUUCAAAAGCAAGAGCCGAGAAGAACUAACAAAAUACCACGGAUGACCAUCCAUUACUAUUUUUAUUCUUUCUUUGUCUUGCAAAUAAGAUUUCUGGAAAGGAAAGUAUGACCAUAAUGAAUAAAUCAAAGCCAAUAAUAGGACAGUUUCAUUGGAAGAAAAAGUAGAAGAAAGCAGAAGGAAAAUCCCCAGACAUUGGUUGUAUCUGUUCUCUGUCAGCCAAAGCUUGGUGUCUGAAAAUUAUUGCUGGAAUAGCUGGAAUCUUAACAAAAGUUCCAGGAAACCUGGGGGCUUCUGGACAGCAUAUGUGAAGUUAAGAGGAAAGAAAUAUUUCAUCUUCUGUGAAAGUCACAACUACGAAGAACAAGGUGUUAACAAGGUAGCAGCUAGGCGUGGCAGGGGAGGAGAGUGCUGCCCCCAGGAGCCAUUCCUCGAAAUAGGACUGUUGAAUACACACCUCAGGCUUCCUUCCAGGACAUAAAGGAGCUCUGUUUCAGAUGUCGUCUAUUUAUAAUGUCUUUUUUUACACUGGCUUCUGUUUUCUCAAGUUCCCCAAGGUCAACUGCGGCGCAGAAGCAGAUGAUCCUCCUGAUGUGUAUGGUCAGAAGAUCAACAGUAGCCUAACGCCACGUCACAACACCUGUGUCAUUCACCUCACAUCAUCUCAUCACGCAGGCAUUUGGUCAUCUCCAUAAUCACAAG